rnacentral:rRNA from 1 species
GACGAACGCUGGCGGCGUGCCUAAUACAUGCAAGUAGAACGCACAGUUUAUACCGUAGCUUGCUACACCAUAAACUGUGAGUUGCGAACGGGUGCGUAACGCGUCGGUAACCUGCCUGGUAGCGGGGGAUAACUAUUGGAAACGAUAGCUAAUACCGCAUAAUAUUACUUAUUGCAUGAUAAUUGAUUGAAAGCUGCUAUUGCAUCACUACCAGAUGGAGCUGCGUUGUUUUAGCUAGUAGGUGAGGUAACGGCUCACCUAGGCGACGAUACAUAGCCGACCUGAGAGGGUGAUCGGCCACACUGGGAAUGAGACACGGCCCAGACUCCUACGGGAGGGAGCAGGAGGGAAUCUUCGGCAAUGGACGAAAGUCUGACCGAGCAACGCCGCGGGAGUGAAGAAGGUUUUCGGAUCGUAAAGCUCUGUUGUAAGAGAAGAACGGGUGUGAGAGUGGAAAGUUCACACUGUGACGGUAUCUGACCAGAAAGGGACGGCUAACUACGUG